AGGGGGGAAAGUGGUAGAGAAAGGAAAUUCCAGUGAAAAGAAGGAGGAAGAUGAAUUGUUGUUAUAAAUCAUGAAGCAGAGUAGUAUGAUGCAAUCGAACAGUUGAAAAAGAUGCCUACUCGAAUCUCCUUGCUCUCAUUAAUAUUGAGCUCAGAAGUGCAUCGUCAUGCCUUAUAAAGGGUUCUAGAUCAGGCAUUUGUAACCUCCCGACAUCACACCGGGGCAAUUUCAGAAGAUAGUUAGACAAA
rnacentral:misc_RNA from 1 species